AACUUCUGUUUUGGUAGUAAGAAGAAGAAAUAUAAACAAGCUACUUGAGAGAAAAGAAUAAUCGAAAAACAAAAGUAGAAAUUAUGGAAGCGGAAUUAUUUGAAGUGAUGUGUGAAUCGUCGUCAUCCGAAUCAGCAAACACCAGCGUCUCGACGGAAGAUCUUCUAGAUUCUCCUCAAGUACGAUAAGCACUUCAGGAAAUGAAGAGAAGCGCACAAGAAUUUAAAACUUUUUAGCUGUUAUAGACAAAUAUAGUGACCUCGAAUUUAGGCAGCAUUUUAGACUAAAUCGCUCGACUGCUCUUAUUUUAAUUGAACGCUAUGGUGCAAGCCCCUUAUAUUCCAGCAAAGA